rnacentral:rRNA from 1 species
GACGAACGCUGGCGGCGUGCUUAACACAUGCAAGUCGAACGGAAAGGCCCUGCUUUUGUUGGGUGCUCGAGUGGCGAACGGGUGAGUAACACGUGAGUAACCUGCCCUUGACUUUGGGAUAACUUCAGGAAACUGGGGCUAAUACCGGAUAGGAGCUCCUGCUGCAUGGUGGGGGUUGGAAAGUUUCGGCGGUUGGGGAUGGACUCGCGGCUUAUCAGCUUGUUGGUGGGGUAGUGGCUUACCAAGGCUUUGACGGGUAGCCGGCCUGAGAGGGUGACCAGCCACAUUGGGACUGAGAUACGGCCCAGACUCCUAAGGGAGGCAGCAGUGGGGAAUAUUGCACAAUGGGCGGAAGCCUGAUGCAGCAACGCCGCGUGCGGGAUGACGGCCUUCGGGUUGUAAACCGCUUUCGCCUGUGACGAAGCGUGAGUGACGGUAAUGGGUAAAGAAGCACCGGCUAACUACGUG